rnacentral:rRNA from 1 species
AGUGAACGCUGGCGGCGUGCUUAACACGUGCAAGUCGAACGAGAACGGAUUAUAGCUUGCUAUAAUUGUCAGCUAAGUGGCGCACGGGUGAGUAAUGUAUAGGUAAUAUGCCUCUUACUAAGGGAUAACAAAUGGAAACGUUUGCUAAUACCUUAUGCUCCUUAUUAACAUAAGUUAAUAAGGGAAAGAUUUAUUGGUAAGAGAUUAGCCUGUAUUGUAUCAGUUAGUUGGUGGGGUAAUGGCUUACCAAGACUAUGACACAUAACUGGUUUGAGAGGAUGAUCAGUCACACUGGAACUGAGACACGGUCCAGACUCCUACGGGAGGCAGCAGUGGGGAAUAUUGCACAAUGGACGAAAGUCUGAUGCAGCAACGCCGCGUGGAGGAUGACACAUUUCGGUGCGUAAACUCCUUUUAUAUGAGAAGAUAAUGACGGUAUUAUAUGAAUAAGCACCGGCUAACUCCGUGCCAGCCGCCGCCGUAA